rnacentral:rRNA from 1 species
UAGGGAAUCUUCGGCAAUGGACGAAAGUCGGACCGAGCAACGCCGCGGGAGUGAAGAAGGUUGUCGGAUCGUAAAACUCUGUUGUUAGAGAAGAACAAGGACGUUAGUAACUGAACGUCCCCUGACGGUAUCUAACCAGAAAGCCACGGCUAACUACGUGCCAGCAGCCGCGGUAAGACGUAGGUGGCAAGCGUUGUCCGGAUUGAUUGGGCGUAAAGCGAGCGCAGGCGGUUUCUUAAGUCUGAUGUGAAAGCCCCCGGCUCAACCGGGGUGGGUCAUUGGAAACUGGGAGGCUUGAGUGCAGAAGCGGCGGGUGGAAUUCCAUGUGUAGCGGUGAACUGCGUAGAUCUAUGGCGGAACACCAGUGGCGAAGGCGGCUCUCUGGUCUGUCACUGCCGCUGAGGCUCGAAAGCGUGGGGAGCAAACAGG